rnacentral:rRNA from 1 species
GAUGAACGCUGGCGGCGUGCCUAACACAUGCAAGUCGAACGAAGCACCUUACCUGAUUCUUCGGAUGAAAGUUUGGUGACUGAGUGGCGGACGGGUGAGUAACGCGUGGGUAACCUGCCCUGUACAGGGGGAUAACAGCUGGAAACGGCUGCUAAUACCGCAUAAGCGCACGAGGAGACAUCUCCUUGUGUGAAAAACUCCGGUGGUACAGGAUGGGCCCGCGUCUGAUUAGUUGGUUGGCAGGGUAACGGCCUACCAAGGCAACGAUCAGUAGCCGGUCUGAGAGGAUGAACGGCCACAUUGGAACUGAGACACGGUCCAAACUCCUACGGGAGGCAGCAGUGGGGAAUAUUGCACAAUGGGGGAAACCCUGAUGCAGCAACGCCGCGUGAGUGAAGAAGUAUUUCGGUAUGUAAAGCUCUAUCAGCAGGGAAGAUAAUGACGGUACCUGACUAAGAAGCUCCGGCUAAAUACGUG